rnacentral:rRNA from 1 species
CGGAUUUAAUACCCCCCAUAGGAUUUUAAGAGGGGGCAUUCAUUUUUAUAUUAAAAGAAUUUUCGGUACAAAGAUGAGGCAUGCGUCCCAUUAACCUAGGUUGGUAUGGUAACGGGCAUACCAAAGGCUUUUGAUGGGUAGGGGUUCCUGAGAAGGGAGAUCCCCCACCACUGGUACUGAGACACGGACCAAGAUUCCUACGGGAGGCAGCAGUGAGGAAUAUUGGUCAAUGGACGCAAGUCUGAAACCAGCCAUGCCGCGUGCAGGAUGACGGUCCUAUCGAUUGUAAACUGCUUUUGUACGGGAAGAAACGACUCUACGUGUAGGGUUUUGACGGUACCGUAAGAAUAAGGAUCGGCUAACUCCGUGCCAGCAGCCGCGGUAAUACGGAGGAUCCAAGCGUUAUCCGGAAUCAUUGGGUUUAAAGGGUCCGUAGGCGGUUUUAUAAGUCAGUGGUGAAAUCCGGCAGCUCAACUGUCGAACUGCCAUUGAUACUGUAGAACUUGAAUUAUUGUGAAGUAACUAGAAUAUGUAGUGUAGCGGUGAAAUGCUUAGAUAUUACAUGGAAUACCAAUUGCGAAGGCAGGUUACUAACAAUACAUUGACGCUGAUGGACGAAAGCGUGGGGAGCGAACAGGAUUAGAUACCCUGGUAGUCCACGCCGUAAACGAUGGAUACUAGCUGUUCGGAAGCAAUUCUGAGUGGCUAAGCGAAAGUGAUAAGUAUCCCACCUGGGGAGUACGAACGCAAGUUUGAAACUCAAAGGAAUUGACGGGGGCCCGCACAAGCGGUGGAGCAUGUGGUUUAAUUCGAUGAUACGCGAGGAACCUUACCAGGGCUUAAAUGUAGAGUGACAGGACUGGAAACAGUUUUUUCUUCGGACACUUUACAAGGUGCUGCAUGGUUGUCGUCAGCUCGUGCCGUGAGGUGUCAGGUUAAGUCCUAUAACGAGCGCAACCCCUGUUGUUAGUUGCCAUCGAGUAAUGUCGGGAACUCUAACAAGACUGCCGGUGCAAACCGCGAGGAAGGUGGGGAUGACGUCAAAUCAUCACGGCCCUUACGUCCUGGGCUACACACGUGCUACAAUGGCCGGUACAGAGAGCAGCCACCUGGUGACAGGGAGCGAAUCUAUAAAGCCGGUCACAGUUCGGAUUGGAGUCUGCAACCCGACUCCAUGAA